GGUCCACGUCCGCAAGAAGGAUGGGAGGUGGAACAGCAGACUGCGUGUGCGGCUGUACGGGCUAUCUGACCUUAGGAGAGUCCCCGAAGAGGCGCUACUCUCGAGCGGCGGGUCGUGAGGAGCCAGGGAUCCUGAAGCCCUGCCAGGUCCUUGCACUUUGCAUGAGGAAAUUAAGGACCAGGAUCGAGGUACUGCUGAUCUGAGAAGCCAACCUAGAAGUGCACAGGGAGGGGAGUCUCUGCCUUGCUAAAAGGUCCUGGAGACUGGCCCAUGAGCUGCCAUGAGGAUUGAGUUCUGUGUCUAGGGCUUGGGGAGGGUUGGGGCUCUGCUGUCUUGGAAAGCAGAGAGGCAUGUUGAGAUGGGGGUGCUGCCUUGAGAUACUCAGCUUUUCACUCUCUGUGUGGGCUCUGGGCAGGGUGAGUUCCUCUUGCCAGGCAAUACAGAGACCCCCAAUCUCUUAGGAGAGGUUUGGCCUCCAUGCUGUGAAAUUACCAGGAAUGAAUUUCUGGAUGGGAUGGGGUGCAGAGAAGGAAGCUGAGCCAAGCAUGCUAGCCAAGGACCUGGGCUUCAAGGGUCCUUGGUCCUGAGUGGGAGUCCUGGAGCCAGGAUGGGUCUGGAGCAAAAGGGGAGGCAGUGGGUGUGGGGUACAUUGGAGUCUGACUGCACUUGUCAGACCUCAGGUUAUUUUUUUUUUGGGUACUGGAGAUCGAACUCAGGACUUUUCACUUUUGAGGCAGGCAGUGGCACCACUGAGGUAAAUCCCUGGCCCAGGGCCCAGGUUCUUGCCAAGCUGUUCAGGGUUCUGUGUCCUAGGCUGGAUGUCCAAAGUUCUGGAUGUUGAUCUGGAGUUGAUGGUCCAAGUCCAGGUCAGGGACCUAUCCGAAACACCAGGUCAGGGUUAUGGUAGUGAUCUGGGUCUGAGAUUGGAAUCAAGGUUGGGUUAGAUCAAGGUCUUGGCCUGCUGGAGGUCUGGGGUCAAUGUUGAAGUCUGGGUGUGGAGCCAGAGUUGUGAUCUGUGGUCAUGGUCAUAGUCUGCAGUGGUGCUCCAAGGUCUCAGUCCAAGGUCCUAUUUGGCGUCUAAAGACAGGAUUUUCAACUAAGGACUGGUGUCAGGUCAUGGGUGGACAGUGGUGUCCAAGGUCAGGGAGUCAGGGGUUAGAGUCAGAGUCUGAAAGCUAAGUUCCAGGAUCAUAUUCUGAAAUUUGAGUCCAGGGUCUAGGGUCCUUGUGAUCCAUGACUGGCGUUGGAGAGGGGGGUCUGAUUUUGGAGCCUGGGAUCCACAGAUGUGACUCGAAGUUGUGGCUACAAUCUGAGUCUGAGGGCGUCUUCGGCCAGGGCUCCUGUCGUGUUCCAGGUGCAAGGUGGACAGUCGAGGUCACUGUCAGGGUCUGAGAUUAGGGUCCCACAUCUAGGUCAAGUCUCCGGUUUUAGUGGCGCCCUACGAGAGUUCCGCCCUCCGGGGCUCCGGCCCUCGAGGCCUCCAGGGGGCGCCGCUGCCCGGCAGCGCCGCCCGCCCCGGCUCGGCCCCUCGCCGGAUCGCUGGCGCUGUGUGCGGCAGGCGGGGCCGGA
ensembl:lncRNA